rnacentral:lncRNA from 1 species
UUUCUUCCUGGAAAAGAGACUCCAACUGUCUUUUGCACAGUGCUUUAAACUCAUACCAUUAAUCACUCUUUGAGACUAAAGCUCUGAUAACCUGAGUGAAGAAUUGGUUACAAGGACAUUACAAUGCACCAUGCUACCUUCAGCCAUUUGUUCUUCUGCAUAAAUUGUUUUGACCGAUUAGCCAAUCAGUCACCAACAAGACCCAAAAGGAAUGAGAAUCUAAAGAGAUUGUCACCAUUUGGUGGGUUUGAACACCAAGAGGAUAGAGCCUAGAGCAUUGUGGUCUGCUUUAAGACUUCUGAGAGGCAACAAGGAGUCCUGAGAGAAGCUGAGGGCUUCAAGCAAUGAGAUUUGAGUCUACCUCCCUUCAUCAAAAGUGCAGCUAGAAAAACUUGGAGAAGCAACCAGAAUGGGAGAUGGGAGGGUAAUACUUUUACAUCAAAACAACACUAGCUUUAUUGGCUGAAAUAAGAGCAAAGUAUGUAAGUAGAAAUGAUAUUAAUCUGUCAUGCAUAUCACCUCUCAAGUGGUUCCUCAACAAUAGUGUUAAUCAAGCUUUGCCCUACUUUUAUCGGAAACCUGGUGAAGAAUAGCUUUGACAUUUAUCAGACAUAGGACACUAAGAAAAUUGCCGUAUGUAUAAAUAAAUUUAUGCCUUGAAAAUGUUUGUGCCAUGCUCUGGGAAAGGGGAUCAGGAACAAAUGAGAGGGUAGAGGUAGAAGGGAAAGGUCUGCAGAAUGUGGAGGUGAGAAGGAAAGAAGAAAAGGGUUGGGCAUGGAGGGAGGUAACAUCGGGGCUAAACCUAAUAGGCCUGGGGAGCCUCCAGAGAUUCAGGCAGUUAAGUUUCUCUCCUUUUUUUUUUUUCUGGUGUUCCCAUUUUCAUUUGGGUGGCUUUGGGCAAGUCUUUCUGAAUCUCAGAUGGUGCUAACACUUUCAUCCAACUGAGGAAUCAAUAAGAUGACAGGCUUAAAAGUGUUUUGCUAACUAUAAAGUGGUACACUAAUGUUAUUUAGAGCAAGGAAGAAAAAGUAGAGAGCAUCUAAUAACUUACAAUGCUAUUAUGGUAAAAAAAAAAAAAAAAAGUUUGUCCACAGGAUACACAAAGAUGAAUGAGUAAAAAGUGAUUCAUCAAUUAUCCCAGCCUAGGAAGACUCAGCCAAGGAUGGGCAAAAUACUAAAUUCCUCUCUUAGCUAUAUAUGGAAUAGGUCAGGGAGAGGGUUUAUUUUACUGCUCUCCUUCUUAUAAAUGUGGGGUUCAGAAUUGAACAGUUGUUCCAUCAACCAUGACCCUAAAAAGCUGGGUAUGCUAGGAAUCUAGGAGAAGAGAUUCAAAUAUAUUUUCGCUUGGAUAUAAAAAUGGGGAUGAAAAGCCACAGUGGUGACAUGUCAUUUUGCAUACCUCAGAAUUCCAGAGAUCCCUAGCUUUUGAUUCUGUGCAGGCUUUCUGUGGUACUGGCUGUAUCAGCUGCUCUUAACCAUGAACCAGAGCAUCUUGGAGAGGAGCUGCUAAGUGCCUACUGAGUCUGUAGCAUGGAAAACAUGUCUGCAACGUUAAUGGAGAGCUCUGGUUUCUGGGGCUGAGAGAUUUCAAUCACUGAUAUUGUCAGUGAGUGAGGGUGGCCGGGGCCAUGGUGUAUGCUUGUCUGGAAUAAAGAACAACAGUUUUGAAAAAAAAAAUCAAAAAACAAAAACAAAAACAACCUUGCUGAGUAGGUGCCAGGUGUGAUUGGAGCUGGGCUGACUUCCUCCCACGCAACAGGGAGCCCUCCUGCAAGGCCAGGCAGCUCACCACAGCACCACUGCUCAGAAACAGGAGGUUAAUUAGCCCAGCACUUAAUGAGAGCGUCUGGAGGAACUGUUAAGAAAAUACUAAAAAAUAAAUGAGAUGGAGUAACGAUGGAAGGAAGGCAUAGACAUGCUCCGAAAUGGCUGGUAGAAGAAAUAAUAUGGCUGAGACAAAUUGAGAAUGACUGAGCAGCUGAAGCCUGGCCCCAGUGCUGCUGAAGGGGCACCCUCUUAAUGAACAAGCAGUGCAGAGAUGGAGGAACUUAUGAAGCUUGGCAGCUAUGGUGGUGGUGAAGUGUGUGUGCAUAUGUGUGUGUGUGUUGGGGGUAGGGUAGAAUGGGAGAUAGGGUUUCUUUUCAUUUUAAGGACUUUGGAAUCACAAGACUUCUAAGUCAAAGAAAUUAUUAUCUUCUAUCCCUAGGAUCAUUUCUAUUUAUUUCCUAUUAAGCUUGGCACUUAUCAAAAAUAAAUAUUUGUGGAAUAAAUGAGUGGAUUAAAAAAA